rnacentral:tRNA from 1 species
AUCAGCAGCACAUGAUUUCAGUUUAUAUAGUUUGAGCAGAGGGAUCAAGCCUAAUUCAAACAGAAAAACUAUAACAAAGACCAAAGAUUUUUUCUGACAAGAUUCCAUGCAAUCAAUUUAAAAAUAAAAUAAAAUAGAGCAGUAGAUGUUGGCAUCUAGGUGGACAAAGAUAACUGCAUCAACAAUCAUAAAUCAAGUGUUUUGCAUCAGCACCAUGCAUAGAUUGUGGACAUAUGUUUCAUUUGAAAGUAAAUUAAUUUUUUUAAAAGUCUUGUACACCAAAUCCUUAAAUUGGAAAUGACAUAAAGAUCACCAAGGGAAAUAACAUCAGCGGCUGGGCAUUUGGUCUGGUGGUAUGAUUCUUGCUUUGGGUGUGAGAGGUCCCAAGUUCAAUUCUCGGAAUGCCCCAUUUGAUUCAGAAAUUAAGCAUUCAUAUAAUUUUUAGCUUCUUAUGCUACACUAUAAAUCAGAAAUGGCAAAAAAUCAAUUGUAAUGGGAAAACACAAAAACUUCGAGAGAAUCCACCAUCCAGGCAUACUUCUUUUUUCUAUCAAAAUUCUUCACUAAUAACCGGGUAAACAGAAUGUGAAGUAUUCAGAUCAAGAUUGAAAGCCUAUCAUACCUGCAUCUAGUUCAUUCAUCAAGAAGGAAAGGAAAUUUACCUGAACUCUACCAAAUGAUACAAAUAUUAAGAGCAAGUUCACUGACCAAAAUGACCAGCCAAAGUUGGCCAAAAUUAAAGAAUAGAAACAUGUACCGAAAAAACACUUGUGCAUACAAAACUAUUAUAUAAUAUACAUACGUGUAUAUCCAUUCAACUUUCUUGCUCAACGUAAGAUUCUGUUAAAAUAUUUUGACAUCAUUUUUUACCAACUUUGCCUAUCAUCUAAUCUCUUGUCCAUAUUUAAAAGAUUAGGCUGUGCAGCAUGGAUCCUUAUACCAGAACAACCUACAGCAGCAUACUGCUAGUCAAGAAAAUUAAUACAAAACUUAACUCCUCCUCUCUACCUAAACUAAAAUGCUAAAUCCAACUGUAGGCAAGUAAACAAAUCUAUUUCUUCCAUACCUUAGUCAUAUGCUAACAAAUAGGGGGAUCUCAAUUCAAAAUGCGGAGAUACUGUCUUUUGGUUGAUUCACUUAUAAGUGAAGAAUAUUUGAGAAAUAAAUCUCAUACCAUAAUGUAAAUUUUAAACAGAGAUAUGCAGAAAGUGAUGCCAAAACAAAGAAGAUGAAUUUUAAGGUUACAUGGGCCAUCCUUUGCUGAAAAAUAAAUGUAAGCUACAAAAGUAUCACGUCAACUUCUAGCAUGCAAUGUAUACAUAAGCAAUUUCCCCUUUCAUGUUGUUUUCAACCAACUAGCUGUAUGCUUAAUUUUUUAGAUAAGAAUCAUUAUCAAAAGAAGAAAAAAAAGGGAAAAUUAUGAUCAAUGAUACAAUCUUCUCAUUCAUGCAAGCUGAGUCUUCCUUUAGUAUCCCAUGCACAGGGUAGUAUGAGAAAAUGAGUAAGAUUGGAAGUUUGAAACUAGAAGUCCAAUAUAUUAUCCAAGGAAAGAACAAACAUAAACAUACCGUAAUGAAAUACAUAAAUAACUAAUAUCAAGCUAUGUUUUUAAUUCUAGGUAUCGGGCAAAAGGAAAAAAUAUAUGUAUAUAGUAAGGUUUCCAAACAUAAAUCUAUGAGGUUACAAAUGUAACUUUAAUAGAUUAUAAAAUUAAAGAUCUAAAAAAACCCAAAUGUAUUUUUGAAGUCUUACAUUCCAUUCCAUAAAUUAUGGACUGCUGGAAAUGCUCAGGAAAUGUUUAAUUUAAUCAACUUCAAAACUAAUAUGAGCAACUUUAAGAGAAUAUGUUAAUUAAAAAAUUAUAAGGAAACAACAUCAACAAACAGGCAUUUGGUCUGGUGGUAUGAUACUCAGCUUUGGGUGUGAGAGGUCCUGAGUGCGAUUCUCGAAAUUCCCCACCUUGUUUUUAAUUUCCUAUGCAGGGAUUAACAUCUGGCCCAGCCUCUAUCCUUAAGAAAUAAAUUCCCAUCCUCUAUACUGUCUGUUUGAAGAUUUAAAAAUUUUUUUUCCCCGUGAUCUGGACUGAAGUCAACUGCAGAACUAGAAGUCCAUAGUGCCUCACCUUCCUUGCCUAUUUGAAGAAUUCACAAGCCAUGUUCAAUAUAGUUUUAGGUUUCUGACACAAAGUUAAAAUAAUUUGGCCAUGUUAUGUCGCCUAAAGUCACCAGCAGGACAAUAUGAAUUGUCAUUUGUUCAAAUAUAUUUUAUUUUCAUGUAAGAUUAUAUCAAGUGAAUAAACCAGUAACAUCACAAUCUAGAUGGCCAAUUAAGAGACAAUAACUAUUACCCUUGCAAUCAAGAAAAGCCAGCUGUCUCAACCUGCCAAACAGUUGUGGAAGUUCAUUUCAAGAGCAAGUUCAAUUACUCUCAGUCAACCCAGCUGAAGACAACCAAAUGUAGUGUAGAAUUUAACGUUAGACCACCACUCUAUCAUGAAUAGUUACAAAAAUUUUUAAGAUAUCUAGAGAAAAUACUUCAUCAAUAUUUAUGAUUUAUGGCAUAGUUUAUUGCUUGUUCCUUGCAACCAUUAAUAACACCAUAAAGUAACAUCUUGUCAUAGAGGGGGCAAAAAAAAUUUUUUCU